GGUGGUAAUGCCGGAUGCUCCGACUCCUCGCAUGGGGUGUCGGGAAAGAUUUCAUCGGUAUGGGAUGGGGUCGCGUCCUAUCAGGUAGUCGGCGGGGUAACGGCCCACCGAGCCUACGACGGGUAGCCGGCCUGAGAGGGCGACCGGCCACAUUGGGACUGAGAUACGGCCCAGACUCCUACGGGAGGCAGCAGUGGGGAAUAUUGCACAAUGGGCGCAAGCCUGAUGCAGCGACGCCGCGUGCGGGAUGACGGCCUUCGGGUUGUAAACCGCUUUUGAUCGGGAGCAAGCCUUCGGGUGAGUGUACCUUUCGAAUAAGCACCGGCUAACUACGUGCCAGCAGCCGCGGUAAUACGUAGGGUGCAAGCGUUAUCCGGAAUUAUUGGGCGUAAAGGGCUCGUAGGCGGUUCGUCGCGUCCGGUGUGAAAGUCCAUCGCUUAACGGUGGAUCUGCGCCGGGUACGGGCGGGCUGGAGUGCGGUAGGGGAGACUGGAAUUCCCGGUGUAACGGUGGAAUGUGUAGAUAUCGGAAAGAACACCA
rnacentral:rRNA from 1 species